GCCUGAAGGAGAGAAAUAGAAUGAGUGAAUAUGAUGCGAGAACAGGGAUAAAAACACACACAUAACUUAGGUUUCAAAUCCUCUAAAAUGGCCACACUUGCUCUCCCACAAUAUGGCUUCAGCACUUCUGGCGAAACCUAAAGAGCAUUGA
rnacentral:lncRNA from 1 species